rnacentral:lncRNA from 1 species
CUUGAAUUUUCAGGAACUCACAAACCAAUGACAUCCAGAUUCAUUUUGACAGAUGUUACUGUUAUGUCCACCUUGUGGAUGGGGAAACUGGCUCACGAGAUUGCACAGAUAAGCAGUGACAGAUGAGAAUCUGAAGCCAAGGUGUCUGGCUCCAAUAUCCUAGCUCUGAAGCCUAAGCUGUUCAAAAGCCCCUCUCCAGGAAGAUUUCCAAACCCAGGACCUCAUGCAUACUAUUGCUCGUUGGGGAGUGAAUAAAUUGUCAUGGAAACUGCUUUCUUGGAUGAGAACACCAAGAGCUAUGAGAACCCCCACUGUUGGAUCGGACUUCCGGCCCCACGGUCUCAUUCCCAGCUGGUGUCCACCUUCUCCAUCAUGUGUGCAGCUUCCCUUGCGAGGUGACCUCAUUCCCAACACAAAAGAUGCUUGAGGAUCGCUUCUGGGUGCAAGAAUCAAGAUUGAGGCUCAAAUAUUAAAAUGGCAAUUUUGAUGGUUGGUGGGGACAAGAUACCAGAAUAAAGCCA